GACGAACGCUGGCGGCGUGCUUAACACAUGCAAGUCGAACGGAAAGGCGCGGCUCUUGUGGGGUGCUCGAGUGGCGAACGCGGGAGUAACACGUGUGUAACCUGCCCCUGACUGUGGGAUAACUCUAGGGAACUGGGGCUAAUACCGGAUAGGAGCUCCUGCUGCAUGGUGGGGGUUGGAAAGAUUCGGCGGUUGGGGAUGGACUCGAGGCUUAUCAGCUUGUUGGUGGGGUAGGGGCUGACGAGGGCUUUGAAGGGUAGCAGGCCUGAGAGGGUUGCCGGCGACAUUGGGCCUGAGAUACGGACCAGACUCCUACGGGAGGCAGUGGUCGGGAAUAUUGCACAAUAGGCCGACGCGUGAUGCGGCAACGCCGGGUGCGGAAUACCGUGCUUCUGGUUGUAAACCGCUUUCGAAUGAGACGAAGCGUUAGUGACGGUAACGGGUAAAGAAGCACCGGCUAACUACGUG
rnacentral:rRNA from 1 species